rnacentral:rRNA from 1 species
AUUGAACGCUGGCGGAAUGCUUUACACAUGCAAGUCGAACGGCAGCACGGGGGCAACCCUGGUGGCGAGUGGCGAACGGGUGAGUAAUGCAUCGGAACGUGCCCAGUCGUGGGGGAUAACGUAGCGAAAGCUACGCUAAUACCGCAUACGAACUGAGGUUGAAAGCGGGGGAUCGCAAGACCUCGCGCGAUUGGAGCGGCCGAUGGCAGAUUAGGUAGUUGGUGGGGUAAAGGCUCACCAAGCCGACGAUCUGUAGCUGGUCUGAGAGGACGACCAGCCACACUGGGACUGAGACACGGCCCAGACUCCUACGGGAGGCAGCAGUGGGGAAUUUUGGACAAUGGGCGAAAGCCUGAUCCAGCCAUUCCGCGUGCAGGAUGAAGGCCCUCGGGUUGUAAACUGCUUUUGUACGGAACGAAAAGGCUUUCUCUAAUACAGAGAGCUCAUGACGGUACCGUAAGAAUAAGCACCGGCUAACUACGUGCCAGCCGCCGCCGUAAUAC